GUUAACUCCUACAUGUGCUAAUCUACCAUGCCAUAAAUUAAAUGAAUCAGUAACAUACGCAAAAGAUUUAAUUUUAUUUGACUUGUCUUCAAUAGUACAUAGUUUGACCAUUUUUAGGUGGAAUAGUCAUUUCCAACAAAGUACCCAGUAUAUGUUAGUACAAGCUAUCCAGAUUAAAAAAACAGAUUUAAUCCCAGGUUUUCGCAAAUUACACCACUUGCUAAGUUUCUAUUCAUUUUCGGUACAUACAAGACAUUUGUCAAAGUGAUCUUCUUUCCCGAAGUGAAAAUGAGUUCAAUAUUUUCUUUGCCAAUCAUUUUUUAUCUUUCUUCAUUUCCCAUUUGUAUUUCCUGAUUGUCUUCAAUGUCAUGAUAAGUUUUGAAGAGAAACUUAUCAUAACAUACAUGAAUUGUAGAGCAUGUAUCGAACCACCAACCCGAAAUUUUGCCUUGGAUUUCAUUAAUUUCGCUCAUCGUGGUGAUAAUCUCAUCAGCAUAGUUCACUUGUCCUUCCUUCUUUUGUUGUUUCAUAUGCCUGCAAUCUUUAACAAAGUGUCCCGAUUUUCCCACAAACAUAGUAAGGUCCUUUGGCUUUAUUUUCAAACUUCCCUUGAUCCUUCCUAGGACCAAGAAGUUUCCCUUUCCUUUUGAAUUUGUUGGAGUUAUCCACAUUGUCCAUGGUAUUAGUUUUCGAAGAGCCAUCAUAAGAGUUUUCAAUCUUAUCUCUUGCCCUUGAUUCUUCCUCAAUACGAAGAUGUUUAUGUAUGUUUUCCAAAGAAAAGUCUUUCGGAUUGUGAAGAAUCUUCUUCCUAUAUCAUUUCCAUGAACCGGGGAGUUUAGCAAUAAUUGCUCCCACUUGAAAAGUUUCGAGAAGUUCAAUUUUCACGUCAUUCAGUUUGUUUACAAUUAUUUGUACUUGAGGCAAUAAGGGUACAUUAUUUAAGAAUUUGAAAUCAAAAUAUUUAGAUAUUAAGGACUUUUUGGUACCUUCUUCCUCGGCUUUAUAUUUGCUUUUUAGCGCAUACUAGAUUUCUUUUGCUGUGUGGUGUUGGUGUAGGGAUCAUAGAAACAAUUGGACAGCGCAUUUAGGAUAUGAACACGGCAUAUCAAUUCAUCCUCUUCCCGUUUCUUCCUUUCUGCGUGAAUUUUUUCGGUGUCCUUGUCACUUGCAUCAGAAAUAUGCUCCAAUUUUGGAUCAAGCACGUAGAAGAUUUUUAAGGCCAUUAAAAGGAACUUGAGUUUAUCUUGCCAUCUAGUAAAAUUUGCACCAUCGAAUCUGUCCAAACGCACUAGGUCUUGAUUUAUCAUUUUGAUGGUGGCAAGUUUAGAUUCCGUCUCCAUCGCAGUAAUAAUAAUCAACUAACGUUUGAGUUUGUUAGAAAAUUUAAGGCAAUAGAAAAGGAAAAUUGAAACACAACAAAGGGAAGAAUAUAGAAAUAAUCAAUAAAAGGCUUGAAUACGAAAUUAAUCUCGCUGUCCUCAAAUGUUAUUUGCCUCAUUUCCA
rnacentral:lncRNA from 1 species